rnacentral:rRNA from 1 species
UACGUAGGGUGCAAGCGUUAAUCGGAAUUACUGGGCGUAAAGCGUGCGCAGGCGGUUGUGUAAGACAGAUGUGAAAUCCCCGGGCUUAACCUGGGAACUGCAUUUGUGACUGCACGGCUGGAGUGCGGCAGAGGGGGAUGGAAUUCCGCGUGUAGCAGUGAAAUGCGUAGAUAUGCGGAGGAACACCGGUGGCGAAGGCGGCUUCCUGGACCGACACUGACGCUGAGGCGCGAAAGCUAGGGGAGCAAACGGG